GGCAGAGUCAUUUGUCGGUAGAGUUUUCCAAGCGGAGUAUGCCAGAGGCUCUAGAUCUGUUCUCCACCUGGGACAAAGGUGAAAAGCUUUACUCUCUGAGGGCAACAUGCUUGUUUGGGAAAGAACUUGAAGUAGUCUACUACACAGUACUCCUGGUUUCUACAAAGACCAUCAAGGACCCCUCUUGGUAUUUGCCUCCUCCUGCUGAAGAUUUUCUCCCCUAAAACAAGCAUGCAGCACAGUCAGAUAAGACUUUGAGGUGAGGUAACUGUGUAACUAAACCGGAAUCAACAGUCAUGGGUUAGUUUGCUCAGCCUAUCUUAUCUAUACAAGGUUAUUUUGGGGGCAAAUUUGAACUUUCUUUGAUUCAUAAAGUGAAAAUGCCAUUUUUUUUCCUUUGUAAAUUUAUUUUAAAUAAGUAAUUCUGAAUGCAGAAUUUGUGGGCUGUUAAAAUUUCAAUUGGAUUGGAAAGAUGAGAGGUAAAUCAAAACUUUCUUGAAUUCCUAUUAAUAUAUA
rnacentral:lncRNA from 1 species